CACCAGGUCCAGACACNAUAAGGAUUGACAGAUUGAGAGCUUUUUUUUGAUUUUGUGGGUGGUGGUGCAUGGCCGUUUUUAGUUGGUGGAGUGAUUUGUUUGGUUAAUUGCGAUAACGAANGAGACCUUAACCUGGUAAAUAGCCCGGCCCGCUUUGGCGGGUUGCCGGGUUUUUAGAGGGAAUAUUGGGUUAAGCCGAUGGAAGUUUGAGGCAANAACAGGUUUGUGAUGCCCUUAGANGUUUUGGGCCGCAAGGGGGGUANAAUGANAGAGCCNAACGAGUUUAUUUCCUUGCCCGGAAGGGUUGGGUAAUUUUGUUNAAAUUUGUUGUGNUGGGGAUAGAGCAUUGCAAUUAUUGGUUUUUAAAGAGGAANGCCUNGUAAGGGUAACGUUCAUUCAGCGUGCGUUGAUUACGUCCCUGCCCUUUGUACACACCGCCCGUCGCUACUACCGAUUGAAUGGCUGAGUGAGGCCUUCGGACUGGCCCAGGGAGGUCGGCAACGACCACCCAGGGCCGGAAAGUUGGUCAAACUCCGUCAUUUAGAGGAAGUAAAAGUCGUAACAAGGUUUCCGUAGGUGAACCUGCGGAAGGAUCAUUA
rnacentral:rRNA from 1 species